rnacentral:rRNA from 1 species
ACAGGAUCGCCUGUUUAUCAAAAACAUAUACGUGAUCUGAGUUCAGACCGGAUCGCCGGUUUAUCGUAAACAUAUACUUUGCCCUUUUUCUGACCGGAAGACCGGUUGGUUUUACGGUAGAGAGUCUGUUUUAAUAAUAAGUAAAGAAGUUAACUUUUAAGUGAAAAGGCUUAAGUGUUUUUAAAAGACGAGAAGACCCCGUCGAGCUUAAUUAUUCUUUGGUUUUUUAGAUUAAAGAUGAAAUUUUAUUGGGGCAAUAGGAAACGAAGUGAUCGUUUUUUGUUUUUAUUUGGAUCCAGUUUGAUUGAAAAAAGCAAAAGCUACCGCGGGGAUAACAGGGUAAUUUUUUCUGAGAGUUCGAAUUAAAGAGAAAGAUUGCUACCUCGAUGUUGGAAUAGAGUUUCUUUAUGCUUGCAGCAGGUAUAUAAGUGGGACUGUUCGUCCUUUAAAACUUUACGUGAUCUGAUUUCAGACCG